ACAACAAGCCUUGGGGAGGAAAGGGCAGCCGCAAAACCUUCCAGCCUGGGCUGACUCCGACGGGCUUUGGGUUUUUUGGCUAUGAAAAAUAGGAAAGAGUUUGAUUGCUGUGACAAUUCCCACCCCAAAGAGCCAAUUCCCUAUUGAUACUCACGUUGCAGCGCGCUGCCUUCUUUUCCUGAAGCUUGGUCACCUCGCAACAAUCAGGAGAAGAAAAUCUUGUAAAAAUCAACCCCCACGGCCGUCUGGAUCCUGUUUGUUUUCCCUGUGUGGUCCCGCUAAGGAUCCCAGUUAGGCCAGAACUCCAGGGACAGUCAGGGAAGGAGAUCCCCCCUGCAAAUGGCUGGGUGCGCUUGGGCCCUCCAACCACGGCUCCCCCAGAGUACGGCUAAACGAAGGCUCCUGCCUGGCUCGCCAUAAACUGUCGUGGAAAUUUGUCCCCAAAAUGCGCUUCCCUGUUAGAGGGACAGGCGCGGCUUGGAAGCUCCGGGAUUGCGCUUGGUUCGCCUCCGCCGGGAAAAUGACAGAGACCACGCGUUGCUGUCAGUGAAAACAAACAGAUCCCUUUAUUGAAAAAAAUGCAGAAAACUACAGCUGUAGGGUCCCUGCCUCUGGAAAAAAGGAAGGACCCCGGGAAAUGGUGGGCAAUCUUUCGAGAUGGGCGCAGGAGUGGAGCGAUUUCCUGACGAUUUCCAUGAGGUGAUUUUCAUCCGGCAGGUGUUUUCCUCGAGGCCGCGGGAAGAUGGACUAUGGCAUGUUUAAUUUGAAUAAAGUUGUCAAGCUAA